AACACAGGAAAGAUGCUAAAAGAAACAAAAGAAUCUGAUCUAAACUCCAACACCUCCUGAAGAAUCUAGCUGGGCAGAGAAAAAGAACACAGAAGGUGGCUGCAGUCCUAACCCUAGAAUUGACAUCGCCAGUGAUGUCUGAAGCUCCAGCGGCAAAA